rnacentral:rRNA from 1 species
GAUGAACGCUGGCGGCGUGCCUAACACAUGCAAGUCGAACGGAGUCCAGCCUUUAAGACCUUCGGGUCAAAGAGGGGAAGACUGAGUGGCGGACGGGUGAGUAACACGUGGGCAACCUGGCUCAUAGAGGGGGAUAACAGAGAGAAAUUUCUGCUAAUACCGCAUAAGCACACACUGCCGCAUGGCAGAGGGUGAAAAGAGAAUCGCUAUGAGAUGGACCCGCGUCUGAUUAGCCAGUUGGCAGGGUAAGAGCCUACCAAAGCGACGAUCAGUAGCCGAUCUGAGAGGAUGAACGGCCACAUUGGGACUGAGACACGGCCCAAACUCCUACGGGAGGCAGCAGUGGGGGAUAUUGCACAAUGGGGGGAACCCUGAUGCAGCGACGCCGCGUGAGUGAAGAAGUAUUUCGGUAUGUAAAGCUCUAUCAGCAGGGAAGAUAAUGACAGUACCUGAAUAAGAAGCCCCGGCUAACUACG